AACUGCAAGUAACACAGCUCAGUGGGGUUUUUGUUUCUCCUCAGAGUUACAGCCAAACUUAUGAUCUGCAUAUAUUCUAUUUUUUUACCAUUUUGCCCUGUAAUAUUGUAUAUGCUUUGUGCUUCCUGUAAAGAUGCAGGUUGGUACAACAACCCAAAAUGGAAAAAGAAACGAAACAGAUCGUGCCAGAGGACCCAGGUCUCGUCCCUGCUGAUGAUGUGUGAGAGGAAGCCCUCACCUUCAUCCCAUACAUGUGGCAGAAGCCAGGUACACACUUGCACAUGUGGUCAUCUAUGCACAUCUGUCAGCUGUUCUGGCACCCAAUGGGCAUACACUUUCCAAUAAUUAAGCAGAAAAGAGGAUGAAACCCUGAUGGCACAGUGGGGGAUGGUUCCAAAUAUGUGCCAAGUAGAAGAACCAGCUAGAUUGCGUUGCUGCUGUGCCUGAUUAUGACAGUUUUAAAAUGCAUGCGCUCCAUGAGAGUGCAUCUGAGAGUUCCUACACUGAUUAAAGGAAUAACUCCCUAUUCCUCUACUACAAGAGGGCAAUCUGUUAAUCAGACUUUUAUGCUACAAGUAUUUGUACUUCCUACUUAUCCAGCUGGUUGGUAAGGAAAGCUCUAGGGGGUGCUGAGAGGGAAGGGAAUACAUGCUAGAUGAUCUGUUCAGGUCCCUCCUGACCCUAGCUACUAUGAAACUAUGCUCCCAAGUGCAGUAGAUGGUAUAAUUUUAAUUAAUUAAUUCAGUCAGUUGAAGACAUUCCAUUUCUGUACACUGUUGAGUUUAGCACUGAAAUAAGGUAUUCAUUUACCUGAGAUCCAAAGCAAGUACAUUAAGCAUGAUAUCAUCUCUUUGUUGUGAAACUACAUUGCUAGAGCACACUUCUGCAAAACAGACACAAAGUGACAUUUCAAGGUAUUUGAUAGUCUCUUUCCAUAAUCCUCUCCCUCACUCUUCUUUUUUUUUUUUAAAUACUUGACAGUCAGUGUAGUGACAUGAGGCUGAAUAAGAAAAAGCAAGAACAAUACUGUCUAUUCAAGACUGAGCUUGAUGGGGAAUGUAGGUUAUCAGCUUUGACAUUACCAAGCAUUAGAACUAUUCUUUUGGGGACAAAUUCUACUCUCACUUACACUAGUGUCAAUCCAGAGUAACUCAGCUGAGGUCAAACCAAAGUAACUCAGAGCAAAAUUUGCCCACUGCCUUUGUCUGCAAUCCCCACUGGCAUGUCCACUGAUUCUGUUAGCAAGCCUCUGGUGGUUUCCAGUGUGUUUACCACCAAAUUAACUAAACCUAUGACUGACAGGAUAGGAUUUUUUGAUACAGUCCCCUAGUACAAACAAGGUCUUUAUGUUUUGUGUUGGACUUGUUUGCUAGAAAAAAACAAAUAAUUUAGGAGAUGCCCUAAUUAUUAUUCUUAGAUACUUAUAUGACCUCUAUUCCCAUAAUAUCCAAGUACCUCACAUUCUUGUAUGUAUUUAUCUUCUCAGUCCUGUUCUGAGAUAUGGAGGUGCUCUUAUUGCCAUUAUAUAGUUAGAGAACUGACAUACAGAAAGACUAAGGGUCAGAUUUGUAAAGGUAUUCAGGCACAUAAUGGGAUUUUCACAAGUGUCUAAGUGCCUAAGUGCCAGCGGGAGUUGGAUACCCAAUAGCUUUUGGCACCAAUAUGCAUCUUUAGGUACUUAAAUAUCCAUAAAAGUCAGGCAUAGCUAGUAGAGGUGCACCGAUACAUCGAUCCGAUAUCGGAUCCGCACUGAUAUAAAGAAAAUUGGCUGUAUCGGACAUUGGCCUGAUGUAGCCAAUAAUUUGGCUGAUAAAUGCUGUGAGUGCA